AUAGCGUAUAUUAAAGUUGUUGCAGUUAAAAAGCUCGUAGUUGAAUUUCGGGAUUAAUAUGUUGGUCGUGCCUUGGUACGUACUGGCAUUAUUGAUUCCUACCUUCUGAAGAACCUCGAUGUCAUUAAUUUGGUGUCUUGGGGAAUCAGGACCGUUACUUUGAAAAAAUUAGAGUGUUUAAAGCAGGCUCGCGCUUGAAUACAUUAGCAUGGAAUAAUGAAAUAGGACGUUUGAUUCUAUUUUGUUGGUUUCUAGGAUCGACGUAAUGAUUAAUAGGGAUAGUUGGGGGCAUUAGUAUUCAAUUGUCAGAGGUGAAAUUCUUGGAUUUAUUGAAGACUGACUACUG
rnacentral:rRNA from 1 species